GUCUCAAAAGGCGCGGUGAAUACGCCCCUGUUCCUUGCACACACCGCCCGUCAAACCAUCUUAGUUGGGGGUGGGUGAGGCUGCCUUUUAGUGGGGUANUCGAGCCUGCNUUCGACAAGGAGGGUUAAGUCGUAACAAGGUAUCUGUAGGGGAACCUGCAGAUGGAUCACCUCCUA
rnacentral:rRNA from 1 species